rnacentral:rRNA from 1 species
AGUGAACGCUGGCGGUAGGCCUAACACAUGCAAGUCGAACGGCAGCACAGUAAGAGCUUGCUCUUACGGGUGGCGAGUGUCGGACGGGUGAGGAAUACAUCGGAAUCUACUUUUUCGUGGGGGAUAACGUAGGGAAACUUACGCUAAUCCCGCAUACGACCUACGGGUGAAAGCAGGGGAUCUUCGGACCUUGCGCGAUUGAAUGAGCCGAUGUCGGAUUAGCUAGUUGGCGGGGUAAAGGCCCACCAAGGCGACGAUCCGUAGCUGGUCUGAGAGGAUGAUAAGCCACACUGGAACUGAGACAAGGUACAGACUCCGACGGGAGGCAGCAGUGGGGAAUAUUGGACAAUGGGCGCAAGCCUGAUCCAGCCAUACCGCGGGGGUGAAGAAGGCCUUCGGGUUGUAAAGCCCUUUUGUUGGGAAAGAAAAGCAGCAGGUUAAUACCCCGCUGUUCUGACGGUACCCAAAGAAUAAGCACCGGCUAACUUCGUG